GACGAACGCUGGCGGCGUGCCUAAUACAUGCAAGUCGAGCGCAGGAAACUGACGGAACUCUUCGGAGGGAAGGCAGCGGAAUGAGCGGCGGACGGGUGAGUAACACGUAAGGAACCUGCCUCAAGGAUUGGGAUAACUCCGAGAAAUCGGAGCUAAUACCGGAUAGUUCAACGGACCGCAUGGUCCGCUGAUGAAAGGCGCUUCGGCGUCACCUUGAGAUGGCCUUGCGGUGCAUUAGCUAGUUGGUGGGGUAACGGCCCAACAGGGCGACGAUGCAUAGCCGACCUGAGAGGGUGAUCGGCCACACUGGGACUGAGACACGGCCCAGACUCCUACGGGAGGCAGCAGUAGGGAAUCUUCCACAAUGGACGAAAGUCUGAUGGAGCAACGCCGCGUGAGUGAUGAAGGUUUUCGGAUCGUAAAACUCUGUUGUAAGGGAAGAACACGUACGAGAGGGAAUGCUCGUACCUUGACGGUACCUUACGAGAAAGCCACGGCUAACUACGUGCCAGCCGCCGCGGUAACAC
rnacentral:rRNA from 1 species